GAUUUAACAGAACUAUCGCCAGACAUUGUAAAAACUCAGGAAAAUAGAACAUAUUUGAACUACGAAGAAAUCCAUCCGUCUAGUGGUUGCAGAUUAAAAAGUAACUUUAUUCCUUGGACUUGUGCUUUAGCAGUUCUCUUGUGUUUUUUAUUUGAUCAGAGGAACUCAUAACAAAGGUAACAUAUUCAGACUCCGGUGAAGCAAUGUCUAUGUCACUUCCAAUAUGUACACAUGUAUCUAUACCAGUAUUACCCCGUAAUAUGUGGAGUAAACUUUCAUUCGGAUGAUCAAACAAGUCAAAUUAGUCAUUUUUAGAAACUUGGCAAGUAUUAAUUUUUUCCAGUUUUUUGGACUCGACUCUAUAGUGCAUCAUGGCACUUUGCAAUGAAGUAAAUUGUGUGUAGACUUUUAACCUUUUGGUAGCUACAUCUUGCCUUGGCUUUAUUGUUACUCAACAAAGAAUUGUUACAAUGGAUGGAGAUUAUACUUGCACUGUACAAGGAUUCAUAAUUAUCCUAGCGCGGCUCAAGAGGGAGAGAAAAAAAAAUUCUUUUACUGGGAAUGAUCCAAUCAAUUUCUCUUUAUAUCUCUUGUAGUUUGAAAAAAAAAAUAUAGAAACAUCUAGGCCUUCCUAUGUUUAGAUGUCAGGAACUAAAUGCAUUCACAUUAGUAAUGCUGCACAAAGCAAUUGAUUUUUUCCUCUUUCCUCAGACCUCCAUGAAAACGGGAUAUAUGGGAAGUGACAUGAACUUUUUUGAAGCCGGGUCUGAAUAUGAUUGCAUCAUAUUUGAUUUGUUAUCAGAAUACAAACCCCCUCUAUUUCAUGAGAAUUAGAGACAUUUGUUUGAAAUUUAUUGAAAUAUAUGAUACCCUUGUUGUAUGAUUUGAGGCCAAAAAAAUAUAUACAGUAUUUGUGUUUCAUACUGUAUGAUAGAACAAAACCCACCAGACUUAUGAAAUAUGAAGCCACGAUUGUUGAGAAAUGUUCCGUGGAAAUGGAAACAAAUGUUCGAUUUCUGUGCAGAUUUUUUUCUCAUGUUAGCAAGUGAUGGGUGUAUGAUAACUCAUUGGAUAUAUGUGAAAUAUUAAUGAACAUUUGUAAUGAGACAUGGAUUGUAUGGGAGGAAGUUAUACGGAUAGAUAUGUGUGAUUUGUGUGUGUGUGUGUGUGUGUGUGCGCGACAUGUAUGUGUGUACAGUAAGUGACUGUGGCAGUGAUUGUGUGAGAAAGAUUAACAAUUCAUCGCCAACUGCUGAUUGUACCGGAUUUAUUAAUUAUUUGUUAUUGAAUGUUUUCAGUAGUUUUUCAGUAUGUGAAUCUUCAUAGCUUGACAAUUCAGAGUAUUGAAUUCCAUAUACACACAGUGGUGUUUUGGCCCCCUUGGUCUUUGUGUCAGUUAUGUUUAAAUAAGCCCCUCAUAUUGAUUUUCUCUUCUAAAAUAUCUCGGCUUUAUAAGAACACCAGCCACAAAGAUUUGGUGUUAUUAGGUGUAAACUCUGGAGACCAGGGCUAUCAAAAGAUACCUAAAAAGCUUUUAAAAACUGUUUGUUUAAAUAAAGAUCGACCAACUUGUUUGCAACUUCAAGGCUGGUGUUGCCUAACUUAACCCAAACUAAAUAUUGCAUAAUUUGUACGUACCAUUUUCAAGUCUACAUCAAAAUGGCAAAUGGUUUCUACUUUUUCAUGUCAUGGAAAACUCAAAAGACUUUUUAUUUUCAUUUUUUUCUAAGGCAUAUAUGACCAAGAGGGCUAAAACCAACUGGAAAAAAUGCUGAGUCAAACUGUGAAGAAAGACUCGACAAUACUUUCAAACAUAAGAAAAAAUGAACAACAAAAAAGCAAUAAAAUUGUUAAGAAUUU
rnacentral:misc_RNA from 1 species